GGGGAAUAUUGCGCAAUGGGCGAAAGCCUGACGCAGCGACGCCGCGUGAGGGAUGAAGGUUUUCGGAUCGUAAACCUCUGUCAGAAGGGAAGAAACUACGUUGUGCUAAUCAGCAGCGUACUGACGGUACCUUCAAAGGAAGCACCGGCUAACUCCGUGCCAGCAGCCGCGGUAAUACGGAGGGUGCAAGCGUUAAUCGGAAUUACUGGGCGUAAAGCGCACGUAGGCUGUAGUGUAAGUCAGGGGUGAAAUCCCACGGCUCAACCGUGGAACUGCCUUUGAUACUGCACAACUUGAAUCCGGGAGAGGGUGGCGGAAUUCCAGGUGUAGGAGUGAAAUCCGUAGAUAUCUGGAGGAACAUCAGUGGCGAAGGCGGCCACCUGGACCGGUAUUGACGCUGAGGUGCGAAAGCGUGGGGAGCAAAC
rnacentral:rRNA from 1 species